rnacentral:lncRNA from 10 species
AUGAACAUCACCCGAAAAGAUGCAAAGUCCAGAUCAAGGGUAGGAAUGCUCAUGAGAGCAACAAUCAUAGAGGAUAACAGAGGUCAUACCUGAUGUCAUCUGAGAGGAGAGAUGUUACUCCUAUUCUUACUACGGUCCAUUCAAGGGCAUUUUGAUGGGUAUAUACCUGAUAUAAUGCAGAAGCAUGAAAGGAGCCCCACAUGCAGCAAAAUUGAAAAGAAAGAGAGGAAAAAGAAAAGGAGAAAAAGAAACAGGAAAAUUGGAAGGGGUGGACAAUCCCACUUACCCAGGCAUCCCUCCACAGAAGAAAGGCAAAAGGGAAAUAACACAAAGUGUAUCAUCCAGUGAAGAAUAACAUUUGUUUGAAGAGUUCAUUAGUUCAAUUUAAGACAGAGAAGAAUAGAAACUGCAGCCAACAUCUAGCCAAUAUUUAUUUACUCCACAACAGGCCAUCGGACUACAUCUUGAGUUAUCGGACUACAUCUUGAGUUAGGACAAUUCAAUAAAAAAGUUACCUUCCAUAUGUCCAUUUAAAAGAGACAGUUUAGAUUUAGGAAUUUAAACACCUUCUUCAAAUGGACAUAGUAGCAAAUGCUCAUAUUAUCUGAACUCAAGUCAGAAUUUGUCCAAGGCUGUUUUCCUCCAGAUAAGCUUUUAUUAUUUUGUAAAAACGAGGGCACUCCAAGGGGCAGUCUACAGAUUCAACACUAUUCCUAUCAAACUACCGAUGUCAUUGUUCACAGAAUUGGAAG